rnacentral:rRNA from 1 species
GACGAACGCUGGCGGCGUGCUUAACACAUGCAAGUCGAACGAAGUGGCGAACGGGUGAGUAACGCGUAAUCAACCUGCCCUUCAGAGGGGGACAACAGUUGGAAACGACUGCUAAUACCGCAUACUGAAGGAGGGGAUUGCGUCUGAUUAGCUAGUUGGAGGGGUAAAGGCCCACCAAGGCGAUGAUCAGUAGCCGGUCUGAGUGGAGGAACGGGCACAUUGGGAAUGGGACACGGCCCAGACUCCUAAGGGAGGCAGGAGUGGGGAAACUUCCGCAAUGGACGGAAGUCUUACGGAGCAACGGCGGGUGAGGGAUGACGGCCUUCGGGUUGUAAAGCUCUGUUAAGCGGGACGCGGUACCGAAAUAGAAAGCCACGGCUAACUACGUGCCAGCAGCCGCGGUAAUUC